GAUGAACGCUGGCGGCGUGCCUAAUACAUGCAAGUCGAGCGAACGGACGAGAAGCUUGCUUCUCUGAUGUUAGCGGCGGACGGGUGAGUAACACGUGGAUAACCUACCUAUAAGACUGGGAUAACUUCGGGAAACCGGAGCUAAUACCGGAUAAUAUUUUGAACCGCAUGGUUCAAAAGUGAAAGACGGUCUUGCUGUCACUUCUAGAUGGAUCCGCGCUGCAUUAGCUAGUUGGUAAGGUAACGGCUUACCAAGGCAACGAUGCAUAGCCGACCUGAGAGGGUGAUCGGCCACACUGGAACUGAGACACGGUACAGACUCCUACGGGAGGCAGCAGUAGGGAAGCUUCCGCAAUGGGCGAAAGCCUGACGAAGCAACGCCGCGUGAGUGAUGAAGGGCUUCGGAUCGUAAAACUCUGUUAUUAGGGAAGAACAUAUGUGUAAGUAACUGUGCACAUCUUGACGGUACCUAAUCAGAAAGCCACGGCUAACUACGUG
rnacentral:rRNA from 1 species